UACGUAGGUGGCAAGCGUUAUCCGGAUUUAUUGGGCGUAAAGAGAACGCAGGCGGUCUUUUAAGUCUGAUGUGAAAGCCUUCGGCUUAACCGGAGUAGUGCAUUGGAAACUGGGAGACUUGAGUGCAGAAGAGGAGAGUGGAAUUCCAUGUGUAGCGGUGAAAUGCGUAGAUAUAUGGAGGAACACCGGUGGCGAAAGCGGCUCUCUGGCCUGUAACUGACACUGAGGCUCGAAAGCGUGGGGAGCAAACAGG
rnacentral:rRNA from 1 species